rnacentral:rRNA from 1 species
UGACGACCGGCGCACGGGUGCGUAACGCGUAUAGAACCUACCUUAUAGUAAGGGAUAGCCCAGAGAAAUUUGGAUUAAUACCUUAUGGUAUCAUAAAUUGGCAUCAAUUACUGAUUAAAGAUUUAUCGCUAUAAGAUGGCUAUGCGUUCUAUUAGCUAGUUGGUAUGGUAACGGCAUACCAAGGCUACGAUAGAUAGGGGUCCUGAGAGGGAGAUCCCCCACACUGGUACUGAGACACGGACCAGACUCCUACGGGAGGCAGCAGUGAGGAAUAUUGGACAAUGGAGGCAACUCUGAUCCAGCCAUGCCGCGUGUAGGAAGACUGCCCUAUGGGUUGUAAACUACUUUUAUAGAGGAAGAAACCCCGAUAUGUAUAUCGGUCUGACGGUACUCUACGAAUAAGGAUCGGCUAGCUCCGUGCCAGCAGCCGCGGUAAUACGGAGGAUCCAAGCGUUAUCCGGAAUCAUUGGGUUUAAAGGGUCCGUAGGCGGGUUUGUAAGUCAGUGGUGAAAGUUUUCGGCUCAACCGGAAAAUUGCCAUUGAUACUGCAAGUCUUGAAUCAUUAUGAAGUGGUUAGAAUAAGUAGUGUAGCGGUGAAAUGCAUAGAUAUUACUUAGAAUGCCGAUUGCGAAGGCAGAUCACUAAUAAUGUAUUGACGCUAAGGGACGAAAGCGUGGGUAGCGAACAGGAUUAGAUACCCUGGUAGUCCACGCCGUAAACGAUGGUUACUAGCUGUUCGGUUUUCGGACUGAGUGGCUAAGCGAAAGUGAUAAGUAACCCACCUGGGGAGUACGUUCGCAAGAAUGAAACUCAAAGGAAUUGACGGGGGCCCGCACAAGCGGUGGAGCAUGUGGUUUAAUUCGAUGAUACGCGAGGAACCUUACCAGGGCUUAAAUGUAGUAUGACAGGUUUAGAGAU